UUCACUCCCCAAAUUUGUACAAUAGCCAGUCUAGUCCAGGCUGAAUGAACUCAGUCCGAUCUCCCAUGUGGGUGCAGGCACUUCCCUACUUGGCCUGUUCCCUCCAUGGUGUGCAUUAGCAAGAAACAGAGUCAGGAGCAAAGCCUGGUGUUGAACCCAGGCACUCUGAUGUAUGUAGGCAUCACAAGGGGCCUGAACUGCUAGGUCAGAUACAUAACCCUAAGGUAGACAUUUUAAAGUUACCUUUUCUUAGUAGAUUAUCUACCUUUACAGUAUGUUUUAUCUUUUUGUUCAUUAUUUGCAUCAAAGGUUUAAGCUUUUAGGAUUUGAUAUUUUGAUUGUAGGUAUUUCAAUUACCAACUCUGAUUGCAUAGAUACUUUGAAAAAAAGAAGUUGAAAUGAUUUCAGUCUGGAUUUACAUCAGGAUAGCCAUGUGGCAAGUAAGGAAACAUUCAUGGAAUUUGAGUGUUGAAAGGUGUGUCUGAGGUCACUUAAGGAAAGCCUCCCUUGGGUGUAGGAAUCCCCAUAGCAGCUCUCUGGCACAUGGCAGUUUGGCUUCAGGUUGAAAAAUCUAAAGUGGAAAAAGCUUUUUUUCCUUGUACUCUUCCAUUUAGGGGCAACUGCAGUAUGAAGGUUUUGCUCAUAUUGAGCUCAAAUGUUCCUGCUUAUUAAUACUU